UUAGAAUGGAGUUAUUACAGAAGGACCAAUCGCGGCAAUAACCAUAAGUUUUCCUUUUCCUUUAGAAAGAAACCGCAGCAAAUCACCAGGAAGAUCCACCCACCGACCCUUUUAUUAAUUGCAGAUACUUGAAUUUCCCUACUUCCUAUUUAGUACACCAAUUAUAUGAAUACUAUUCCUGCCUGAAGCAGGACUCCCUUCAAAUUAGGAAAAAAGAAAAGAGGGAAAGAAGGACAGAGAACACUUAUGGAAAACAAGUAGUAGUACAAUUUUUCCCUACUUCCUAUUUAGUACACCAAUUAUAUUAAUACUAUUCCUAACUCAACUGGGAUUCCAUCCAAAUUUGGAAAAAGAAAAAGAAGAAAAGAAAAAGGACGACAGAGCAGCAGGAGGAUUCUCAAAUCGAAACAGCUUCUCCAUACGUGUUAUAAACGUCUUAAAACCCUAAUUAAAUGCCUCCUAAAUUGGGUAGACAACCGAUUGAUGUGGUGGAAAUUGACAGCAGUAGUGACGACGAAGAUGGCGUUACUGUUGCUGCAACUACUGACAUUAAAUCCAAUACAAAACCCCAACCCCAACCCCGAUUUCAACCGCAAACGCAAACGCAGGCGCCAAACCAUCGGGGUCUCGAGUGCCGAAGUUUCUGGAAAGCCGGGGCUUAUGAUGUGGGUUCCACUCCUAGAAUGGCUACCACUCAAGGGCAAUUGGAGCAUGCACGUGUGCAUCCUAAGUUUCUGCAUUCAAAUGCAACUUCUCAUAAAUGGGCUUUUGGAGCAAUUGCUGAGCUACUAGAUAAUGCUGUUGAUGAGAUUCAUAAUGGGGCAACAUUUCUGAAGGUUGAUAAAAUUGAUAUCAUGAAGGACAACUCUCCGGCUUUACUUUUUCAAGAUGAUGGUGGUGGGAUGGAUCCUGAUUCUAUUCGGAAAUGCAUGAGCUUGGGUUAUUCUUCAAAGAAAUCCAACAAAACUAUUGGACAAUAUGGGAAUGGAUUCAAAACAAGUACCAUGAGAUUGGGUGCUGAUGUUAUAGUAUUCAGCCGUGCAUCUCGUGGAAGCAAAGCAACUCAGAGUAUUGGGCUUUUAUCCUAUACACUAUUGCUGAAAACUGGGCAGGAUGACGUUAUUGUUCCAAUGGUUGACUUUGACGUAUCUGGCCAUUGGGCAGAACCAAUAAUUUAUAGCUCACAAGAUGAUUGGUCUUCCAAUUUGAAUAUGAUCCUUGAAUGGUCUCCUUUCACUUCAAAGGACAUGCUUAUGCAACAGUUUGAGGACAUUGGGCCACAUGGAACAAAAGUAAUAAUAUACAAUUUAUGGCUUAAUGAUGAAGGCAUAUACGAAUUAAGUUUUGAUGAUGAUGAGGAGGACAUAAGAUUGAGGGAUGAAGCUAAUCGUGGAGGUCAGAUUAAACUAAACCAAAAAACUGUUGAACUUCAAUCUCAUAUAUCUUAUCGUAUUCGCUAUUCACUAAGGGCUUAUGCUUCAAUUUUAUACCUAAGAAAAUUCACAAACUUCAGUAUUAUAUUGAGGGGGAAGCCCAUACAGCAGUACAUUAUUGCAGAUGACUUGAAACACUCAAAAAAGGCGAUAUACAGGCCUCAGCUGGGAGUAACUUCAAAAGAAGUUGCUGUGGAAACAACAAUUGGUUUUAUCAAGGAGGCACCUAAUCUUGGAGUUAGUGGAUUCAAUGUAUACCAUAAAAAUCGCCUGAUCAGGCCCUUCUGGAAAGUCACUGGUGAAGGUGCCACUAAAGGAAAUUAUGUUGUUGGAGUUCUUGAAGCCAAUUUUAUAGAACCAGCACAUGAUAAGCAGGAUUUUGAGAGGUCAUCACUGUUUAUCCGGCUAGAAGCUAAGCUGAAACAAAUGCUGAUGGAUUACUGGAAUAACAACUGCUAUCUAAUUGGACAUCAGCCUCCUUGGAUUAGACCAAAUACGUUAAAGCAUACUGCGAAAUCACAUAGGCAGUUGCCAACUAACCAGCACGACGCUGGUUUCUCAGUUAAUGCCGGAGAAGAAAUACAUCUAGAUCAAUCUCUUAAUGAUUUAUCGGCCAAUUUGCUACACUUGCCUGAGGAUCAUCCAGUUACUUUUUCUGCAACUGGGUCUUAUGAUGAAGUUUCUGAAGAUGGUCCAGGAUCCAUGUUGGCUGAUCAGAUUUGUGAAGAGAACAUACUACUUUUUAUGAGGUGCGAGGGACACAGGCAGAAGCAGAUCGAGUUAAAACACACGAUAACGGAAUUAGAGAAAGAGUUGGAACAGGCCAAAAGGAAGUGUGCUCAACUUUCUGCUCACCUGGAGACUAGAAGGAAGCAGAAGACAGUAAAAGAACAAACUGAAAAGAUUACAUAAUUGCAUAUUUCAGUAGAAAGCUCGACCCGGUGCCAGAAAAUCAACCUACUGCUAACUCUUUUCCGCCUGUUCCUCCACAUCUAUGUAUAUUACAAUGAAACCAAUUUUGUAAUACACUCUUGUUUUAUGAAGGUCAGCAGUGUUACUUCAUGUUGGCCUUAAUGGUGCUGUAUAUAUGAUGGCAGCUUGAAGCAUCAAAGGAAGUCUUAGGUGCGAGCUUGCGAUAUGUCAUGCAUCUUAAGGGUGAAAAGGAGAAUUGUUUUAACCCAUUAAAUUAUCUGAGUAAUCAAUUUAUUAUAUUAAUUGAUAUCAAUAUUAACUUUUUAUUUCUUAUACUCCAUUUUCUUAAAAAUGGGUUGUUUAAUUAAAGAUGAACAGAAUUUAGUAAUGUGUAAUGUUAUGUUAGGUGGUAAAUUAUACUUGGAAAAAAACAAAAUUCUAAUGUAUCCCCAGUCUAGACCUAAGAAUUACCAGGCAAGAUUCUGAUGGUUUGAGGCUCUCGACCUAAGAAUUACUAGUCAAUAUUCUUAUAGAUUAGAGGCUUUCAGGCACCGAGAUGGAUCUCAAAGGUUCACCCUCCCAGAAUCAAUUCUAAUUAUUAAUAAGGGCCAAAUGUACAAAUAAGCUCUUCAAUUUUCCAACAAUUACAUUUUUAAAGUUAAUUUUUGUUUAUUUUAUAGUGUAAUGAUAUGGGAUACAAUUAGUUUUAGACAAUAAAAGAAAUCGUUUAAGGAUAUAAAUGUUAUAUUUUUUAAAUUCAGAACAGUAAUUGAAUAUUUAAAAUUUUAGAAUUUAAUUGUAAUUUAGCCAAAAGUUUAGAAAUUUAUCCACGCUUUUACUAUUAGAAAGAGAAAAAUCUGGAACAUAAGGUGGGGAGAAAAAAGAAAAUAAAAAAACAAAAAUAUUCAAUUAUAUGCUGCCAUCCGCCUAAGUCAAGAUUCCUGUUAAUAGUCAAAUUAUGGCAUGCCUCUGCCUAGUCUUCCCAUUAUGCACAUUCCAAGAAGUUUCCAAGUAAUCAUAUCCCUCCUCUUUCAUGCAAACGACAAUGCAUUAUCACAAUCCCAUCUUAAAAUACCCAAUCCCCAAUCACCAAUUUCAUCGUUUUACGCCAAUACCCAACAAAUUUAAAAAUGCCCCAAUCAAAAUUGGCUUGGCGGCGGCUAUGGUAGAUCUGACCUUGAGACGAUUGUCGUCGUCGUCGUCAUCGUCGUCCUCAUCAUCAUCAUCAUCAUCAUCAUCACCCAGUUCAUUUCUCCAAAUCCCAAUCUCAUUGUUUUCUGUUGCUAUUCAUUCUCAACAACAUAUGGCCACCAACAAAACUGAACCUCUAGAUUCAAAAACACACAAUAUAAAUAAGAAA